rnacentral:rRNA from 1 species
GAGUGAGCGGCAACAGCUCAAAUUUGAAAUCUGGCUUCGGCCCGAGUUGUAAUUUGUAGAGGAAGCUUUAGGCGCGGCACCUUCUGAGUCCCCUGGAACGGGGCGCCACAGAGGGUGAGAGCCCCGUAUAGUUGGAUGCCUAGCCUGUGUAAAGCUCCUUCGACGAGUCGAGUAGUUUGGGAAUGCUGCUCAAAAUGGGAGGUAAAUUUCUUCUAAAGCUAAAUACCGGCCAGAGACCGAUAGCGCACAAGUAGAGUGAUCGAAAGAUGAAAAGCACUUUGAAAAGAGGGUUAAAUAGCACGUGAAAUUGUUGAAAGGGAAGCGCUUGUGACCAGACUUGCGCCGGGCGGAUCAUCCGGUGUUCUCACCGGUGCACUCCGCCCGGCUCAGGCCAGCAUCGGUUCUCGCGGGGGGAUAAAGGCCACGGGAACGUAGCUCCCUACGGGGAGUGUUAUAGCCCGGGGCGCAAUGCCCUCGCGGGGACCGAGGACCGCGCAUCUGCAAGGAUGCUGGCGUAAUGGUCACCAGCGACCCGUCUUGA